rnacentral:misc_RNA from 1 species
AGAGAGAGAGAGAGGGGGGGAGAGAUAUGACUCUUGAUAGUUUAUGUAAAUACCAUAAAGAUUGAAGAAACACUAUAUUACAAACAGGAAGCACUGACGUAUCACAAGGAGGAUAAACUCGCUUGGUUCGUUUUGGAAUUCUCCAAAGCCUUUCAAUGUGAGACUGUGUCCAAGAAGAGUUAACCAUUGCAAGGUCAGCACAAGAGCCUGCAAACCCAUACAUCCAACUAAAG